GACGAACGCUGGCGGCGUGCCUAAUACAUGCAAGUCGAGCGAAGUGUUUCUGGUGCUUGCACCGGAAAAACUUAGCGGCGAACGGGUGAGUAACACGUAAAGAACCUGCCUCAUAGACUGGGACAACUAUUGGAAACGAUAGCUAAUACCGGAUAAUAGCAUUAACUGCAUGGUUGAUGUUUAAAAGUUGGUUUUGCUAACACUAUGAGAUGGCUUUGCGGUGUAUUAGCUAGUUGGUGGGGUAAAGGCCUACCAAGGCGACGAUGCAUAGCCGACCUGAGAGGGUGAUCGGCCACCCUGGAACUUAGACGCGGCCCAGACGCCUACGGGAGGCAGCAGUAGGGAAUCGGACGCAAUGGGCGGGAGCAUGACGGAGCAACGCCGCGUGAGUGAAGGAGGAGUUGGGUGCGUAAAGCUCUGUUGUUAGGGAAGAAUGACUGUGUAGUAACUAGAAGCAGUAGAGACGGUACCUAAUCAGAAAGCCACGGCUAACUACGUG
rnacentral:rRNA from 1 species